GGGUAAAGCAAUGCAUGAGAGGCAUUCUGGGGAGUCUAUCAGUCCUCAACCUAUUCUCAAACUGUGAAUGGGCAAGCAUCGGAGGCACACUUCUCUGCAUCCGGCGUCUGUGUGUGGCGCGUCAAAGGCCAUCCCUGGCCGACGGCGUGCCCAACGCAGUCCGCUGUGCCUGAGUGUGUUUGAGAGAUGGUGGCAGCCUUCUGGCCUCAGCGGGGUGGGGCAUUCUGCCCGGGCAUCCGCUGAGGCCGCUGGGGCCCAACCCGGAACAGUGUGCAGCCCCAUGUGGGCCAUUACUGGUAAGCAGUGCUGGCGAUGCGGGAUGAUCCGAGAGCGCGGUUGCAGGGUUCAAGUGCUGGCUCAUACAUAGAAUCCACAAAGGAUGUUGUCCGCUAGAGAUAGCAGGGCGGUGGCCAUGAAGGUUGGAAUCCGCUUAGGAGUGUGUAACAACCCACCUGCCGAAGCGGGCAG
rnacentral:rRNA from 1 species